rnacentral:rRNA from 1 species
GACGAACGCUGGCGGCGUGCCUAAUACAUGCAAGUCGAGCGGACAGAAGGGAGCUUGCUCCCGGAAGUUAGCGGCGGACGGGUGAGUAACACGUGGGCAACCUACCCUGUAGAUCGGGAUAACAUCGAGAAAUCGGUGCUAACACCGGAUAAUCAUUUGAAGUGCAUGCUUCGAAUGUAAAAGAUGGCUCCGGCUAUCACUACGGGAUGGGCCCGCGGCGCAUUAGCUGGUUGGUAAGGUAAUGGCUUACCAAGGCAACGAUGCGUAGCCGACCUGGGAGGGUGAUCGGCCACACUGGGACUGAGACACGGCCCAGACUCCUACGGGAGGCAACAGUAGGGAAUCUUCCGCAAUGGACGAAAGUCUGACGGAGCAACGCCGCGUGAGUGAUGAAGGUUUUCGGAUCGUAAAGCUCUGUUGUUAGGGAAGAACAAGUGCCGUUUGAAUAAGGCGGCACCUUGACGGUCCCUAACCAGAAAGCCACGGCUAACUACGUGCCAGCAGCCGCAGUAAAAC